ACGGAGGGUGCAAGCGUUGUUCGGAAUUACUGGGCGUAAAGCGCGUGUAGGCGGACGCAGAAGUCGGGUGUGAAAGCCCCGGGCUUAACUCGGGAAGUGCGCUCGAAACCAUGGGUCUUGAGGUCCGGAGGGGAUCGGGGAGUUCCCAGUGUAGAGGUGAAAUUCGUAGAUAUUGGGAGGAACACCGGUGGCGAAGGCGCCGAUCUGGCCGGACUCUGACGCUGAGACGCGAAAGCGUGGGGAGCAAACAG
rnacentral:rRNA from 1 species